UGCCACGCCCCCUGAUUAUCCACGUCUGCUUCCCCGAUCUAGCCCAGCUGUGUGCGAUUAUUUUCGCCCAGUCCUGUCAAUUUCAGUCCAUAUCUUGCCUUCGUUCCUGGUCCGUCAUUGAUGUUAGUCUAUGUCCGAUGUUUCCUGGUCCCCGUACCUUGAUUAAAUCCCCGUUUUUUCUCCCUGUAUUUCGCCUUCCUGCCUGCUUGCCUGCCCGUGCACUUACCCGCUUAACCAGCGCUCCUGACAGUAACCAUAACAGGGAUGACUACAGAUUGGCUCCAGAAUUACUCCUAACUGUGAUAUACAACAGCUCCCUGAAAGCUUUGGUCUGGGUGGAUGACAGGGGGCAGAAAGCUCUUCCAUGUUCGCCUGUACGGCUGCUUAGGUGUUUGAUUGGAUUUCAUCAUGGCUGCUUGGAAGAGCCUGGCAUCAUGCUCACAGGGUCAUGGGGGUCCAGAGCCUAUCCCGGAAUUUACAGAUGCAAGGCAGGGAAUAGCCCAGGAGAGGGUGGCAACCUAAGGAACCUUACCGUGGACCAUCCGUCCUUCAUCAUGCCCUGGCCAUACCCAUUUAUGGUCGAAGAUGGUCUUAGAUGGUCAUGUCCCAGCUCUUAAUGCUCUUUGAUGGUUUAGCUGGGUGGGUCUCCUGUUGGUCAUACUGAUGUGGCCAGCCUAUCAAGUUGACCGUCAUUGGUAUGACCAGCUACACCAUCACACGAUCAUGCAAAAACACACCUUAAGCUGGUCAACAAUUGGUCAACCAGCUCAACCAGCUUUAGCUUAAACUCUUAAGAGGUAACAUAUUACAAUGUGCAUAAUCAUUUAUCACUUAG